rnacentral:lncRNA from 1 species
GGGGAAUUAUCAUAUAGUCUGAACUACUCAUAAAAUUGAGUAUUUUCUUAUAUAAUGAAACAUGAAAUUAUGUUUAGAAUUCUGAAUUUAUAUGAAAUGGUAUACAAUUGGAAGAAAGGAAAAGGAGACAUGCUAAAGGUAUUAGUUUAUGUGCAAUUUUACGCCAUUUUCCAACGUAUAGGUAUUAAGCGGUGUGGCAUUCCACUUUCCGCCACGAACCGCCGCACGUAUGAUGGAUUCAGCAGUAAAGUGGAGGAAAGAGAUCAACGAAUCAGAAGCGGAUUUACUUGAAAAAAUCUGGAACUGUGGGAUGCGGGAAUUCGAUCCUAUACUUCCAGGAUGUGUCUGCCGGAUUAGUUGCGUGGAAACUGUUUGCAUUCCACUCUGGAGGAUCCGGGUUUGAGUCUUGAGUUCCACCCCUUGAAAUUACUGAUUUUGGAAUCCGGGC